rnacentral:lncRNA from 1 species
UUUCACCAUUCAGUAAACUCCUCAUGUUCAUUAACUUCCCAAUCCCCGCUGGCAAUUCUCUAAGAUUUCGGCACCGCCUAAUAUCUAGCUUUUGUAAAUUAUAUAAUUCACACAAAGUCUCAGGUAGUAUCUCUAUGCCGAUUUCAAUUUGGGGAAGGCAAUAACUGAUGGUGAUGAUGAAGAAGAAGACGGGCCAUCCUCACUGCUUUCUUCUAUUCCCAAAAACUCAUUACCCAAUCUUUUUACACUUUUCAAGUUCCCUAGUUCGAGUUUUUCCAGAGCCAAUUUUCCCAAAGGAGGCAAAUGCUCACAGUCAACGCACGAGACAAGUCUUAAUUCCCUUAGAUUGGUUAGUGAAGUCAACCAUUUGGGAAAAAUGUUGCCUCCAUAGAAUACAAUCCCGAAUUCCUCUAAAUUCAAAGGCGGUUGUAAGGCUUCAAGAAGUUGUUUAUCUUUCUCGUUCUUCCUCCUCCCUUCUUCGCCUUCCCCAUCUACGACUCUACCAAACUCAAGAUGCAAACGAAGGAGGUUUUUCUUAUUGUAAAGUUGCGACCUCUCAGCCUCAUCUAAAUGUGACACAUUACUCAGCCCUUCUAUACUACAUUUACCACGGAGUUGAAGAUUUUUCAGAGAUUCAAGCCUACACGUAUUGCUACCAUCAACACCUCCACCCACCACAAACCUGUCUAAUGUUCGAAGGCUGGUUAAUUUGGAAAUCCCUAUUGGCAUGUACUUCAACGAAUAAGUUUCACCAUUCAGUAAACUCCUCAUGUUCAUUAACUUCCCAAUCCCCGCUGGCAAUUCUCUAAGAUUUCGGCACCGCCUAAUAUCUAGCUUUUGUAAAUUAUAUAAUUCACACAAAGUCUCAGGUAGUAUCUCUAUGCCUAAUUCAGACAAAUUAAGAUAUUUUAAAUGUAUCAAUUUUCUGACAUUUUUUGGAAUUUCUCUAAUCGAAUUUGGGUCAAGAUGAAAAGGAUGAAAAUAUAGGGACGAUUGCCUUAUAACUAAUGC